UACGGGGGGAGCAAGCGUUGUUCGGAUUCACUGGGCGUAAAGGGUGCGUAGGCGGGUCUUUUAAGUCAGGGGUGAAAUCCUGGAGCUCAACUCCAGAACUGCCUUUGAUACUGAAGAUCUUGAGUUCGGGAGAGGUGAGUGGAACUGCGAGUGUAGAGGUGAAAUUCGUAGAUAUUCGCAAGAACACCAGUGGCGAAGGCGGCUCACUGGCCCGGUACUGACGCUGAGGUGCGAAAGCGUGGGGAGCAAACAGG
rnacentral:rRNA from 1 species